UCCUGCUGCUGUAGACAACUGCCUAGGUUGCCUUAUACCUAAGGAAGUGUCACGCUGCUGGAAGCAAAGCAGCCAAUAGCUGGUGGGUAUUCUGGGCCUGGGUAAUGCCAAAAUU
ensembl:snoRNA SNORA74 Small nucleolar RNA SNORA74